rnacentral:tRNA from 1 species
AAAUUUGUUUGGAAGAAUAAGAACUGCUAAUUACUUAUUCCUGUGGCUCAACUCCACAGCUAAUUUA